AGAGGGGUCGGAUGUGGGGCGAGUUGGGCAGAAGAGGAACCGCAGAUGCCGGGUGGCGGGAGAGGGGCUGGGGCUGCAGGGAGACAGGACCCGAUUUCUGCCUAGCAACAUCACAACCAAUCAAGAUGCAAUUAAACCUGUCAGUUCGGCUCAUCCUUAACUGGGAUUGGCUACUCGCAGUAUGCUUAUCCCAAGUUUUCAUUGGCUGACGGCCACCUGUAUGGAAAUAAGAAUUACCCGGGACUCUCAGGCCCUUCUCAGCAGUACGGACCUGUGGCUUAGUGCGCUGAAACCUGCAAGGUCGGAGCCGAAACUCCUGGGCUUGCUUGUUGUCCUGCCUUCUCUUCCUCAAAGGAGAUCUCUUGAAUAUUCCCUUUUCCCUCUGCGCCCCUGCCUAAGGCCUAGUCUGAAAGAAGUCCGACCAAAUAACCUGAAAUAAUGCGGAUUUGCAUGC